UACGACGGGGGCUAGCGUUGUUCGGAAUUACUGGGCGUAAAGCGCGCGCAGGCGGCUAUCCAAGUCAGUGGUGAAAGCCCGGAGCUCAACUCCGGAACUGCCAUUGAAACUGUUUAGCUUGAGGACGAGAGAGGUGAGUGGAAUUCCCAGUGUAGAGGUGAAAUUCGUAGAUAUUGGGAAGAACACCGGUGGCGAAGGCGGCUCACUGGCUCGUAUCUGACGCUCAGGCGCGACAGCGUGGGGAUCAAACAGG
rnacentral:rRNA from 1 species